UACGUAGGGCGCGAGCGUUGUCCGGAAUUAUUGGGCGUAAAGAGCUCGUAGGCGGUCUGUCGCGUCGGUCGUGAAAACUUGGGGCUUAACCCUGAGCUUGCGGUCGAUACGGGCAUGACUGGAGUUCGGCAGGGGAGACUGGAAUUCCUGGUGUAGCGGUGAAAUGCGCAGAUAUCAGGAGGAACACCGGUGGCGAAGGCGGGUCUCUGGGCCGAUACUGACGCUGAGGAGCGAAAGCAUGGGUAGCGAACAGG
rnacentral:rRNA from 1 species